UGGGGAAUUUUGGGCAAUGGGCGAAAGCCUGACCCAGCAACGCCGCGUGCAGGAUGAAGGCCCUCGGGUCGUAAACUGCUGUCGGGAGGGAAGAAAAGCAGCGGGAGGAAAUGACCGCUGCCUGACGGUACCUCCAAAGGAAGCGCCGGCUAACUCCGUGCCAGCAGCCGCGGUAAUACGGAGGGCGCAAGCGUUGUUCGGAAUUACUGGGCGUAAAGCGCGUGUAGGCGGUCUGGCAAGUCGGUUGUGAAAUCCCCGGGCUCAACCCGGGAACUGCAUCCGAAACUUCCAGGCUAGAGUUUCGGAGAGGAAGGCAGAAUUCCCAAUGUAGGGGUGAAAUCCGUAGAUAUUGGGAGGAAUACCAGUGGCGAAGGCGGCCUUCUGGACGAUGACUGACGCUGAGACGCGAAAGCGUGGGGAGCAAACAGGAUUAGAUACCCAUGUAGUCCCUGAGCGGGCUGGCAAGGCGCAU
rnacentral:rRNA from 1 species